UACGUAGGGACCAAGCGUUGUCCGGAAUCAUUGGGCGUAAAGAGCGUGUAGGCGGCCUGUUAAGUCUUGCGUGAAAUCUCGGGGCUUAACUCCGAAACUGCAUUCGAUACUGCCGUGCUUGAGGACUGGAGAGGAGACUGGAAUUUACGGUGUAGCGGUGAAAUGCGUAGAUAUCGUAAGGAAGACCAGUGGCGAAGGCGGGUCUCUGGACAGUUCCUGACGCUGAGGCACGAAGGUCAGGGGAGCAAACGGG
rnacentral:rRNA from 1 species